GACGAACGCUGGCGGCGUGCUUAACACAUGCAAGUCGAGCGGUAAGGCCCUUUCGGGGGUACACGAGCGGCGAACGGGUGAGUAACACGUGGGCGACCUACCCUCAGCUCUGGGAUAAGCCUGGGAAACUGGGUCUAAUACCGGAUAUGACUUCCUGCUGCAUGGUGGGGAGUGGAAAGUUUUUCGGCUGGGGAUGGGCCCGCGGCCUAUCAGCUUGUUGGUGGGGUGAUGGCCUACCAAGGCGA
rnacentral:rRNA from 1 species